UGUUGCUAACAGCAUCCCCUUUCCGGUCA
rnacentral:piRNA from 1 species